rnacentral:rRNA from 1 species
AGUGAACGCUGGCGGUAGGCCUAACACAUGCAAGUCGAACGGCAGCACAGUAAGAGCUUGCUCUUACGGGUGGCGAGUGGCGGACGGGUGAGGAAUACAUCGGAAUCUACUUUUUCGUGGGGGAUAACGUAGGGAAACUUACGCUAAUACCGCAUACGACCUACGGGUGAAAGCAGGGGAUCUUCUGACCUUGCGCGAUUGAAUGAGCCGAUGUCGGAUUAGCUAGUUGGCGGGGUAAAGGCCCACCAAGGCGACGAUCCGUAGCUGGUCUGAGAGGAUGAUCAGCCACACUGGAACUGAGACACGGUCCAGACUCCUACGGGAGGCAGCAGUGGGGAAUAUUGGACAAUGGGCGCAAGCCUGAUCCAGCCAUACCGCGUGGGUGAAGAAGGCCUUCGGGUUGUAAAGCCCUUUUGUUGGGAAAGAAAAGCAGCAGGUUAAGACCCCGCUGUUCUGACGGUACCCAAAGAAUAAGCACCGGCUAACUGCGU